UUUUUUACUAUUAUAACAUAAUGUGAUGCACUUCAGUGAAGGAAUAUGAUGACACAUAGGGUUAUGGAUAUCUUGUGGAUUUUUAAAUAAUGUAUGUCAAUAUCUGUGACAUUUGUAUUUAGGCAAUUUCUUUAUUUAUGGAAAAACAAAUAGCAAAUGUUAUGGUGGGAAAGUGGUUAAAUUGAUACCCUAAGAAGUUGCUAGCUAAUUAACUGUAACUAUGCAUGUUUAUCUUCAAAUUAAAACAAGUAAGGGAAUCUUCUCGCUGUUACAACAGCAGACAACGUAUUCAAGAUACUUGCAAAUGCUGCUGGUCUCAGAUCUUUAAGACCCAUUGAACCCCCCAUCUUUUGAUGCAUUGAGAUCGCCCAUUGAAUCGGCUGCAGCCAAGGUUUAAAUCAUUUCUUUUAGUUUUGCUUGCAUGCUUUUAAAAAUAUUAAAUAAAGAUCUGUUGGGUCUAUUCAUUAGGUAGCUGGCUCUCCUGCCAUCACAAAUGACAAUCGAGUCAAUUGCAAAGUGGAAAGGAGCUCUCCUGUCAGGCCUUCUCCAAUUAUUAAUGGAGUUGAUCCAAAUGGUAGAAGCAUGGAAAAGCCAAAAACCAAGGAGGAUGUAACUGAUAGAACCAAACCUUGGCAGUUGUCUGAAAUUGUGGAUGCUGUCCAGUUCUGAUUAGUUACCAUGCCUGAAGGCACAGAUUCUUCCAGCAAGGUUGUUCGACUUCUAUAUGCAAAUUCUGGCAUUUGGGUCAGUUGGUGUUCAGAAGCUGUGGAAAUGGGCAGGGAACGAAGGAAAUCCAAAUGGAAAGCAUUCAGCUCCCUCGCCUCUCUUCUCUUCAGCUCACACCUCCGCCUCUAAUUUCUUCAGCUCACACCUCCGCCUCUAAUUUCUUCAGCUCACAGUCUCACUCACUCCCAAUCUCACCGCCGGCCCAACUGCCCUACCUCUCUCCGCCGCUCUAGCUCUCACCGCUGUCCCAAGCUGGCUUAGCUCUCUCACUCACUGUCUCACACGGCCGCUUCUCCCUCUUCAUCUCUCAGUUCUCUCACUCACACGGCCACAAGCCCACAAGCAGUCAAGCACAGGCACAGCUCCAUUUCGUCCUCGCCGUCGCUGAUCUCACUCCACCUCGUUCUCCAUUUUUUUUUUUUUUUCUAGGUUCAGUUCGUGUUUGUGAUUAUGAAAGGGAAAAUCAUAGAUCUAAAAUUUGUGUUUGGUUUGUUAUUUUGAAAGGGUAAAUCGAAGCUUCUCGCCGCAAUUUUGUGGUUUUUGAUCACUGGCUUCAUUGGUGGGUCUCUCUCGUAAUUUUUUUUUUGAUUAAAAUAUGUGAAACCCAUUUUGUAUUUGGGGACCUUCGGAUUUGUGUUUGUAUUUUUUUUUAAUUAAAAUGUGUGAGUUCUCACCGCAGUUUUUGGUUGUUGAUGGUUGCAAGGAAACGUUUUUCUCGGCUUUGUUUGUUUAUUUAUUUUAUUGUUUAGCUGUUGGGUUAAGGAUCUUCUGUUCAGAUCAUUUUGGUUGAUUGCCAUUUGUUUUGGUUUUUAGGUAGUUUCUAUUUUUUGGGUUACAUGUUUUGCAAAAGAAUCCCAUUAUUCCAUUCCAUUUUGGUUAGUAAUGAACAGUCUAUAAUGAGGAAAACCAUUUCAUUCUUUUUCGGGUUGUUUUGAAUCUUUUGAUUGUCCAUUGAUGAUUCAGAAUCUUGCCUCCAAUAUUUUGUUGCAGGCAUAGGCAUUGAUUCUUUUUUCUCAGGAAAACAAAUUUUUUUUUUUAAUUGAUUGGGCUACGGAUUGGACCACUGUUAGGGGCUGAAGAUUGGGCCAUGAAGUGGCCUGGCUGAGCGGGCCCGUGGGGCCCGGCGGGCGUGGGUCCGGGCCCCGGGAAAAAAAUCCGUCGGGUCGGGUUUGGGCUGCAGGUUAAGACCCGCGGGUCGGGUCCGGGGUAUGGAAAAACCCGGCCCAAACCCGACCCGUUGCCAUUCCUACAAACAGUGGUCUUCUUAUGGCUAAUGAUGUCUCAGGUGUCAUCCUUGAAGAAUCAGUACCAUGUAUGGUACUAUCAAAAAAUGACUCGUGAUGUCAGCCUGUGGUGAAAAGGUUUCAUUAUUUAAUAUGAUGACAUUCAAGGUAAUGACAACAUUUAUGCCAGCACCCCCUGCUUCUACCUUCCUAGCAUUUCAUCCUCAAGACAAUGUGCAUCAUAGCUAUUGGAAUGGAGGAUUCAACUAUACACAUAUAAUGUUAGAGUUGAUAAGGUAAAAUCAAAACUCAAGGGACACCAGAAGCGAAUAACUGGUUUAGCUUUCUCAAUGAAUCUUAAUAUCCUGGUUUCGUUGGGGGCUGAUGCUCAACCUUGUUCAAGGGGAUUUGCUACUAGUGGAAAAACAUUCUUAAUGUGUGGGUGGCUCAGCGGCUAUAGAAGAUGCAAUAAUCUUGGCCAGAUGCUUUGCACGAAAGAUGCAUGGAGAUAGAGGUCAGGUCAUUGAGCACAAAGUUGGAGAAGCCGUGGAUGAAUACGUGAAAGAACGGAGGAUGAGAUUGGUUUGGUUGUCAACACAAACUUAUCUCGUGUGUUUACUGGUAAAAAAAUCACCAUGGCUAGUGAGAUUUGCAUGUAACAUUCUCAUGAUGGUUUUCUUCUCUGACUCAUCUGCUCAUACUAGGUGGUGGUAUCUUCCUAAGACUCAUGGCCACCAUCUUCGUUGUGUAAGCUCUUUUGUGUAUCAAAAUCCAAGAUGGCACAUUAAGUAAAUUCCAUUUCUUGGGCAUUAUCUUCUAGUAAAAUUAAAAGAACAAGAAUGGGAAAGAAGGAAUAGGGUAUGUAAGGGAAUCCCCAUGUUUAAAUCACAACAAGAUGAACUAUGUUAGUAUUCGGGCAUCUUUUAAGUGUGUUUUUAUAGCGGGAGAAAAGGAUCAAGACUUGACUUAGACAAGAAUUUUAGUUUGAAAGAUUUUACUCUCAAAAGGAGCGGCAAACUUAUUUUAGGACUUUUGAAAUGGUUCACGAAAAAAUUUGAAGAUUGACUCAGGCUUUUGCGUAAGAAAAUGGCUUUUCUUUACGUGAUUUAUUGCAAGAGGCUAAUGCAUAACCAUAUCCUUACAAAGUUAUAGAU